rnacentral:rRNA from 1 species
CAGCAGCCGCGGUAAAACAGAGGGUGCAAGCGUUAAUCGGAAUUACUGGGCGUAAAGCGCGCGUAGGUGGUUUGUUAAGUUGGAUGUGAAAUCCCCGGGCUCAACCUGGGAACUGCAUUCAAAACUGACUGACUAGAGUAUGGUAGAGGGUGGUGGAAUUUCCUGUGUAGCGGUGAAAUGCGUAGAUAUAGGAAGGAACACCAGUGGCGAAGGCGACCACCUGGACUAAUACUGACACUGAGGUGCGAAAGCGUGGGGAGCAAACAGGAUUAGAUACCCGUGUAGUCCCUGUCUCUUAUAC